AACGCACGAGACCUGCGGACCUGCGGAAGGAUCAUUAAUGAGAAGCUGCCCCUCGUGGGUAGACCUCCCACCCUCUGUGAACUUACCUUUGUUGCUUUGGCAGGCCCGUCCUCUGGACCGCCGGCUUCGGCUGGCCCGUGCCUGCUAGAGGAUUCCAAACCCUGUCUGUCAGUGUUGUCUGAGUCUAUAUGAAAUCGUUAAAACUUUCAGCAAUGGAUCUCUAGAUCGGAAGAGCACACG
rnacentral:misc_RNA from 1 species